GAUGAACGCUGGCGGCGUGCUUAACACAUGCAAGUCGAACGAUGAAGCCCAGCUUGCUGGGUGGAUUAGUGGCGAACGGGUGAGUAACACGUGAGUAACCUGCCCUUAACUCUGGGAUAAGCCUGGGAAACUGGGUCUAAUACCGGAUAGGAGCGUCCACCGCAUGGUGGGUGUUGGAAAGAUUUAUCGGUUUUGGAUGGACUCGCGGCCUAUCAGCUUGUUGGUGAGGUAUGGCUCACCAAGGCGACGACGGGUAGCCGGCCUGAGAGGGUGACCGGCCACACUGGGACUGAGACACGGCCCAGACUCCUACGGGAGGCAGCAGUGGGGAAUAUUGCACAAUGGGCGCAAGCCUGAUGCAGCGACGCCGCGUGAGGGAUGACGGCCUUCGGGUUGUAAACCUCUUUCAGUAGGGAAGAAGCGAAAGUGACGGUACCUGCAGAAGAAGCACCGGCUAACUACGUG
rnacentral:rRNA from 1 species